UUAAUUAUAAAUAUAUGGAAAAUAAUUGUUGGAUAAAGUGUUUUAUUUAUAGGGCACUGAAAACAUUUUUUCUCUUAGGUUUAACCUUUAAUGUGUCUGUGAGACUCUCUUCACAUGUGGGCAGGUCUUCCCUGUAGAACUAGGGAGGUGAUUCUUAAUAAAAUCAUUCUUCAGCCUUCAGUGAGCCCUUACAUCAGGACUGACCAAUCUUCCUGAUGUUGUCGCCUGCAUACCAAAAACCUCUCGUGAAGGUGUUCUCAGGGAAGAGAAGGCAGUAGCACUGCUGCAGCACCAGGACCGAGUGCGAGCAUGCUGCAGGCCCCAGAGGGAUUCAGUGGUGUCAGCCUCAGCUCUCCUGACACAUUUCCUUUUGCAGGUGAGGACUCACAGUCAGGCUGCAGGUUAUGUUGACAUAGUCCUAGCAUCAGACCUAUAUUUUGGCUGUUGUAAGUCAUAUGUAGUCCAAAACCAUCAUCCACACCUGCACUUAAUCACUACAGCAACCCCUUGGGUCAGCUGGCAAAGGUCUCCAGAGGCAGAGCAUGUAGGCUGAAAAACAUCAUCCGAGUGCAGCAAAGAUUGUCUGUGGUAUUCAUAUGCAGCUCUUUAACUCUCAUUACUUUCCAGCAUACACAGCACAGUCCUUUUACUUCCAAGACAUUUCUGUGGCAUCACUGGGACCCUUAGGGCAAGGAGGUGAGAGCUGCAGCAAAAAGCAAGGCUCCUGCCUAGAUGAAACACCUGAGGAGAUGUUUCAGAGUGUGAUUGCUCCCUGGUGCUAUCUCCUCUCUCCAGCCAUGGCCUCUAUUUCAGAUGCUUCUGUGUGGUUCACACAGAAGAAAGGUCACUUACCCACAUUCUCCUCCCUGAUCCCACAUCACCAUCAUAAUUUAUGCCUAGUUUUCAGAACAAUGGGUAUAAAAUGGCAAGGCCUGGUGAUGCCUGCUACCAACCUUCUCUUGUUGAGCAGCACAAUUAAUCUCACAUUUAACUCUUCCGUAAAGGGAUUCACUAACAAAAGCAACAACCUUAAACGAGGAAUAUUUAAAUGAACAAUUAUAAUUCCUUAAGUUCUUAUUGAAAAAAAAGAAAAUAAAGUGAUUACACUGUGUGGAACUGUGUGCACUGGAAUAUGUCUUCAAACACAAGUCUAAUUAUUGUAAAAACUAAAGCCUGAUCUUUGUCCUACCACACUUCAUGCACAUCAAAUGUUCACAUUGUUACCACUCACCAGUAUGUAAAUAACACAUAUGACUAAUUGCCAGUAGGUGGUAGUGUGUGUUUUUCAGAGAAGUUUGUAAGUUAGUAAUGCAAAUGUUUAAUGUUUGAGGUGAUUUAGAAAGAUCCUGUCAUCUUUAAUGUAUGAUCUCAAAACAUCAUUGCUUUGAAUUCAGUCCCUGAUGUCACUGAGUUAAUAGUUGUUUCACAAACAUCAGCCCAUCACUGAGAGGCGUAUUUUGAUUUUCCUUUUCAAGCUUAUGGACAAACCUAACUGGAACCAUUUUGAACAGUGCCAAUUAGUACGAGCCCUGAGAAUUCAAAUGCAUAUAUUCCUUGGAAUGAUUGGAUUGCUCUCUAGUGUUUCUUUGCAGAAGGUGAGCUUUUGAUAAAUAAAUGCAUUACUUUACUGAUUUAUAAACUUAGACUUGCUCUGUCAUAGAAGCUGUUUUGAGAAUUCCUGGAAGAGCUCACUGGAGAAGGAGCAACACAGUCACUGGACAUCCGUUUCUCUUCCGCACCUCGGCAUGCUUUAUAAAGAAAGGAAAGAAGUGAGCAUCUGGAGAAGACUAGGGUUUCUGGUGGAAGGCAUCACCUUGGCCCCUGUGCUAUUCCUUGCUGAAAGUAGCCUAUAGAGAGCUAAUGCCGUUUCCCCAACUCAUCACACAGGACGAGAUGCGUGUUCUUCCCCGCGUGAGAGCAGGUGCUAUGAGCGGUCCUAUGAGCCUCUCUCUGGUUGCCUGGCUGGACGUUCGUCCUUCUGCAGGUAAAGCGGAUGUGUUUGUGCCACCGGUGUCCACAAGCUACAAUGGCAAGAAGUGCAGUUAAAGGAAGGACAGGAGGAGUGAUGGGGCCUUCCCAGAAGCAGCACUAGCAGAGCCCAGACAAGCUGUGCAGAGGAGAUGUGUGUUUGGUUCAGGUUGAACAGAUUCCUGUUGAGCUAAGGGAGCUGCGUAGUCCUGCUGCACGUGGAAGGCUUGGCCAUACUGGUGAGCCAUAUUACCAAAACACAGCAUCCAUCUUCAGUGUGCCCACAAGUAUCAUAGGUGCUUUGAAGUCUUGAGAACGCUACGCUGCCCAUGGGCCCCAAACCCGCAGUCUCGUGUCGCUGAGCGUUCCACUGGCAGAGCUGCGCACAGAAGGAAGGCUGGACUCCGGAUACGAAAUGUGUGAGCAAAGGAAAGGCAAAAGAACUGAUUUUCAAUUUUGAAUCCUGAUUGAUGUGAUUAUUAAACUCCAUUUAAUUCAGA